rnacentral:rRNA from 1 species
ACACAUGCAAGUCGAACGGAAAGGCCCUUCGGGGUACUCGAGUGGCGAACGGGUGAGUAACACGUGGGUGAUCUGCCCUGCACUUUGGGAUAAGCCUGGGAAACUGGGUCUAAUACCGAAUAUGACCGCGCGUUUCAUGGCGUGUGGUGGAAAGCUUUUGCGGUGUGGGAUGGGCCCGCGGCCUAUCAGCUUGUUGGUGGGGUAAUGGCCUACCAAGGCGACGAUCAGUAACUGAUUUGAG